rnacentral:rRNA from 1 species
AACGUAGGACACAAGCGUUAUCCGGAGUUACUGGGCGUAAAGGGCGUGUAGGCGGAGAUGUAAGUCUAGUCUGAAAGCUCCUGGCUAAACUGGGAGAGGCGAAUGGAGACUGCAUAUCUAGAGUGAGGAAGAGGAAAGUGGAAUUCCGCGUGUAGUGGUGAAAUGCGUAGAGAUGCGGAGGAACACCAGUGGCGAAAGCGGCUUACUGGUCCAUUACUGACGCUGAGGUGCGAAAGCGUGGGGAGCAAACAGG